AGACAGUUAAAAAGCUCGUAGUUGGACUUCAGGCUUAUGCCAUGAAUACAUUAGCAUGGAAUAAUAAUCUAGGACUUCGGUUCUAUUUUGUUGGUUUCUAUAACUGAAGUAAUGAUUGAUAGGGACAGUUGGGGGUGCUAGUAUUGGCCGGUCAGAGGUGAAAUUCUUGGAUUCGGUCAAGACUAACUUAUGCGAAAGCAUUCACCAAGGAUGUCUUCUUCUGUCUCUUAUACACAUCUCCGAGCCCACGAGACAGAUGAGGAUCUCGUAUGCCGU
rnacentral:rRNA from 1 species